rnacentral:rRNA from 1 species
UACAGAGGUCCCAAGCGUUGUUCGGAUUCACUGGGCGUAAAGGGUGCGUAGGCGGUCGGGUAAGUCUGAUGUGAAAUCUCACAGCUUAACUGUGAAACUGCAUUGGAUACUAUCCGGCUCGAGGAAUGGAGGGGAGACUGGAAUACUUGGUGUAGCAGUGAAAUGCGUAGAUAUCAAGUGGAACACCAGUGGCGAAGGCGAGUCUCUGGACAUUUCCUGACGCUGAGGCACGAAAGCCAGGGGAGCAAACGGGAUAGAUA